rnacentral:misc_RNA from 1 species
CCGAGUUAGGGUGCCUAACCCGCGCCCGACCUCCAACCCUUUGUCUACCUGACCUUAUGUUGCUUCGGCAGGCCCGCCUGCCUGGACCUCGCGUCCGGGCGGGCCGCCGGGGGUCUCGCGACCCCGGGCCCGCGCCUGUCGAUGGCCCUUACCAAAACUAUUUGUUAAAACGUGUCGUCUGAGUUAUCUAAACAAAUGAAAUUUA